UUUAUUGAAUGAUGUAUUGACAGGCAUAGAUUCACAAAACAUGCUAGCCAUGAUAUUGCACUGUGUUGUGACACCGAUUUGUAAAAACAAGUAUCUUAACCAUUUGUCAUUUUUGCAUUGUUUGCCAGCUUUUCUUUUCUUUAACAAUUUUCCAAGGUUAUUUAUUUUUGUGUGUGGCUGAAGAUAAAUAUGUUUCAUUUGAAAACUCUUCUUUAGUAACAUCGAGAACAAGAGAAACCCAGUUGUAUAUUUUUUGUGAAUUUCUCCAGUUUGUAUAUUUUCUCUUUCUCUUUACAUCAUUUCAAUCCAAUCAGAUGUCUCAAGGAAGUGGAUGCCAGGAAUGAUGAAUCACUGAAGCCUGUUGGGGGAUCCACACUCGAGGUAGGUGGAAGAGUGCUAGAACACUAAAGCGUGCCACGGCCUCCCAACAGAGAUAAUACCUUAUGCUUGACAAAUUGAGAAUUGGCAUCUAAUAACUUGGUAUAUUGAGAAUUAGACUAUACAAAAAUGUAUGUCUGGGAAAAAUAUUUAAAUGCUAUUUUAACUGCCAGAGAGAAAUCUACUAUUAGUGGCUCAUAGUGAUGUAGUUUAGAGAAGCUUAACCAUGGUGACUCUAUAUGGAUACCUUAUACAACAAAAUUAAUAAGGCACAGAUCAUACAAUCUUUGAGAGUAAAAGGAUGGAUCAAGACCACAGGAAAGAAGGGAUGAAGCUGUGGAGAGUGAGGAUGAGGAACAUUGCAGAUGACUGGAGGCCAGCUCCCUGACCUUCCCCUACUGCCACUGCUGCAGGCCCUGGUCAGGGGAAGUAAAACUGACACUAGCUGUUUAUCAUGCUUUAAGACCAGAAAGUAAAAUGAAAACCAUUACCACCUCUCAGGAUGCAAGAAGGCACAAGAAAGGACUAAACCAGUUGAAGAUGUUAUCUCAAUGGAAGAAGGAAUCCUAAUUAAAUUGAAGUCUUAACAAAAAGACGGUCUAUUUCACAAGACUGAUAGAGACAUAUACUUGAUGAGUCAACUUGGUCUUUUCAAGGCUUUACUCUGGCUUCUCUUCUAUUUAUGUGUACGAUUAGAAGGAUAAACAGCCUAUAAGAGCUUGCUAUCUACCAAAUCCAACCAUGCAGUCUUAAAAAUUACUUCUGGGUUUACAGAUAAUUCUUGUAUCAAAUAAGUUGAUAUGAGGCACCAAGAAUUAGUAGGAUUGGACUAGAGUCAAACCCACUGCACUUAUCAAGGCUUUACCAGACCCUACUGUGUCCUUUAUGUGUUGAAGUCUAAGGAUAUCUAGAAACAUAUGGCAUGAUCACUGCCCUCAGGGAGCUGACAGCAUUGUAUGCUAGCAAGAGGCAAAAACAACAAAAGAGAAUGUAACUUAUAACUGACUGAAAGACCAAUGUGUCAUUUUGGAAGCAGAGAAGCCUGAUUUUGGGCAAACUUUUUAAUGAGAACUUGAGUUUUCGUAUCUGUAAGGUGAAAAUAAGACGAUCAACUUAUGGCUGAAAUGGCAAAGAUACAUUUCCUAUGAGACGGCCUUGUAUAUAAUAAGCAUUCAACACAUAAGAACAGUGAUGAUAAUGCUAAUAAUGAUAUAAUGAUGCCCCUAAGUGACAGAUAGAAAAUAAUUGGACUAUUAGGGAUAUCUCUACAAGCUGGAGUGGUUGAGCAAGGCACCUUAGGGUUAAUGGGAUCAGAACCCAGUGGUUCUGGGCCCUGAAGUAUGAACAAAGGUGAGUGAGGCAAAAAUGUGACCUGUGUAAGGAUCACUAAGGGAACCAUCCUUAGACCCUUAGAGUCACAGGAAGUUUAUACUUUGGCCUUGGGAGCAGGUAAUGAUACUUAAAUGAACACAUUUGUCCAUAGUCUAUGAAUGACUCAGCCAUGAGCCUCAGUGCUUAUGAUUACUGUGGAAUUGGUGCCAGCUUGGCCUCAUCAAGAAUGCUAAAUGUAAUGUAAUUUUAAUGACUUCCAUUGUAUUCGAGGCUUCCUUGCUAAGAUCCAGCAUCACAUUGCACAUUUAAACUACCUGGGUAUACUAAUGAAGAUUAAUUGUUCAUUGAUUAAGGAAGGAUGAAUCACCCUAUUACUGAUGUGAACUUUCCUUCCUGAAGUAAAAGUGUAUUGAGCUUCAAAAUAUUGGCUCAGAUAUGGUGAAAGGCUCUAUUUAAUUGUCUUCCAUUUUAUUUUACCCUGAUGAUAAUGGUAACAAAAUACUUAUUCCUCUUGAAAAAAAAUCAAAUGGAAGUUUUAUUGGUUUUUUCCAAAAAUAUACAAAAGUCCACACACAGUGAUUGAGUAUAGUAGAGGGUUUUAUUAACACCAGUUUCCCAAAAAUUGAAUGAACUUGUUCCUAUGAAUCAACCCCUGAUAAUAAGUGUUAUCAUUUAGGAUUGCAUUAAGCUGCAUGUAAACAGAAUCCUAAACACAGUAGCUUAGUCAAAUUAGGGGUUAAUUUUUUGUACCUAAGAGGGAGACUGGAGAACUCAAGGAGGUGGUUUUUUUUUUUUUUUUUUCUCCCUCCAAUUUCAUUGAUCUGAGUGUGUGAUAUCUGGCAUCUUGGUUGGAGGUUGGCUGCUGUACCAAUGUGCACUAUGUCUGCAUUUCCAGGCAGGUAGAAAGGGAAGAGCAGAGAGCCAAAAUGCCUGUACCAUCUGAAUCAGUCUAUUUUUUGUAGGCAAAAAUGGAAGGCAAUGUCUUUUUCUAGAGUAUAAUAUAUACCCAACAUAUAUAUCCAACAUACUUCUGUUCAUAUAUUUUUGGCUGGAUCCAUGACUCAUAGCUAUCCAUUGUUUCUCAAAAACCUAGGAAACCUGAUUGUCUUUUAGUUGAGAACAUUGCUUUCCUAAACAGAAUCGGAGUUCAUUUAGCAAGGAAAAAGGAGGAGAUGGCCUAUGUUGAUUGGCAUAGUCAAUGGAAUGGGUUUCCUUGCUAGGCUUCUCCUUGAGGGGAAGACUCUAGGAACAUGACCAUGACAUAUUAGAACUCCCUGCAGCAUUAUCAGAAAAGCAGUGGUAAGGAAAGUGGCAACCACAUGAUUUCCAAACCUUAGAAUACCUGACUGGGGCUGGAGAACUCCUGACCUUCAAGUUCAGCUCUGCUUCUCUCAGGUUUCGACAGCUUCUCUGUUGUCCCCAGGUAGAUUUUCUGCUUUCAUAGUAGAUCCUUCUUUAUUUUAGCAGUAUGGUCUGAUGGAUGCACGCGUGCUAUAGACAUGCAGUCUACAUGGCAGUAAGGCACCACAUUAAAAAGUACAGCAUCUAGAGGUAGAAUACCUACAUCCAAAUUGUAGCUCUGUCACUAAUGUAGCUAUGUGAUCCUGAGCAAGUUGCUUAAUCUUCCUUUGCCUCAGUCUUCCUAUCUAUCAAAUGGUAACAAUAUCCUUCUUCAUAGGGUUUUCCUGGAGAUUAAAUGAGUUAAUAUAUUUAUAGUAUUAAAAAUAGCACCCAUCACAUAGUAAACACUCAGUAAGCAUUAGCUGUUAUUUAAUUCAACAAACUUUAAGAUAGAUAUAUAAAAUAAAAAUGAUAUGAAAUCUAACCUUUUGAGAGUUUAAUUUGGGAAGACAGAUAAUACAAAAAUACUUGAGAACAAUUUUAAGACAGAUUUUAAGGAAUUGCAUGGUGGGGUAGUAAACUAUGAGGCCCUUUUUUUGCCUCUGCGUUAUUAUUUAUCUUGUUAGAUGAACGUGAAACUCUGAGUUUGGGCACUGAAUCUUCCACCUGUUUGUAUAUCCAGGGCCCAGCUUAUGAUAGACACUCAGUACAAAUUUAUUGAUAAUUAUUACAGGAAACUGAAGUAAUUUGAAGAUCAUUGUAUUUUUAGUAAUUGAAAAAAGACUUCAUGAAUUAUGAGUUAUGAUCUGGAAAGAAUUAUAAGAAUUCAGUAAGCUGAAAAGAAAAGCAGAAAAGAAAAGAAAAGGGCAUUCUAGUAGGGAAGGGUAUGGUAGAGUGUGAUGGAAUGCUGUGUUAAAAAGGACAAUGGCAGCAAUGUGUAAAAUGUACAUGGUGCAUGGCAGAUGACUGACUUAUUUGAUCUUGGACAUGAUGGAGUAGUGAUGAAGCUGAUUUUAUCAGUUGGUUGAAGACUAAAUAUCUUAUGAAUAUUUUUGGAUAUCAGAAUUGAUCUGAGACACAGUAGAAACAAUGACAGAUUCUUUCACAGGAAAAUAUCAUAAGAAUAUUCACAUUUUAAGAAUUAAGCAGUGGAGUGCAUAAUUAGUAAAAUUUGAAAAAGAAAAACUAGAGGUAAGAAGACCUAUUAGGAGAUGAUUAAAGUCCAGAGGGGAGGUCUUAAAAAGGGCAGCUUCUCUUCAAAGGCCUGAGAUUAGAAGUGCAGUCUCAGUCUCUUUUUGAGGGUAUAAUAACAGCUUCAAAAGGCAUCCUAGUUGCUUCCUAAAUUCCCUAAGGAAUUCUAAGCAUUUUUCUAAACACUCAAAAUCACUUAGGAAGAAUUAUUCUUUCUAAAUAUGGGAAAAUAAAUUGCAAAGUGGGAAAAAAAUAACUGGUUAGUGUAUAUAGAUUUUUAAUCCACCUUUAUUUUUAAAAGUUAUUCACUUGCUGGAGUUUUUGUUUAGUGGCACCAUACUGUAACAUUUUACUUUACAGGGCUGCAUUUUUUAUGAUCUGAAGAUUUUUGAAAGGAUUUUGUAUCCUUUAUUACAUGAUACAUUCUAUCUCCCUUAUUAAUCUGUUGUCCCUUGAAGUAAGAUAAUCGAUGUAUAUUUUUCCACCUUCUACAUUGUUGAAAGUGAUGACUUUAGUUAAUACUAUAGCAAUUCAAUGAAACCUAACAGCAUGAAAUCUUCCAAAAUUCUCAUGAAAGGUACUGACAAUACCUUGCAAUAAAU
rnacentral:lncRNA from 10 species